rnacentral:rRNA from 1 species
GAUGAACGCUGGCGGCGUGCUUAACACAUGCAAGUCGAACGAAGCACUGUUGAUAGAUUCUUCGGAUGAUAGAUACAGUGACUGAGUGGCGGACGGGUGAGUAACGCGUGGGUAACCUGCCUCAUACAGGGGGAUAACAGUUAGAAAUGACUGCUAAUACCGCAUAAGCGCACAGGACCGCAUGGUCUGGUGUGAAAAACUCCGGUGGUAUGAGAUGGACCCGCGUCUGAUUAGCUAGUUGGUGGGGUAACGGCCCACCAAGGCGACGAUCAGUAGCCGACCUGAGAGGUGACCGGCCACAUUGGGACUGAGACACGGCCCAAAUCCUACGGGAGCAGCAGUGGGAAUAUUGGGACAAUGGGGGAAACCCUGGAUCCAGCGAACGCCGCGUGAGUGAAGAAGUA